UUAAUAUAUCUGAUACGAAUUUUGAACCAGAUCCGUUUGCUUACAUUAUAGAACUUUAGGAAUGAGGAGUAAUUGUUUUUAAUAAAUAGUAUUUACUUUCCGUGGAAUUCUUGACAUGAGAAACUCAAAAAGCCCUACAAAAACAUAGAAACUGCGCAGCGCCGCAAGAAGCACUGAUCCAAACGGAGCCGCGAAAAAGCAAUUCCGCAAGUGAAACACAGGUAUAGGAAGGAAGACACCCAUACAUGACCUCAUAUUUUCCAAUUCUAAGUCUAUCCCUAUGAAUUCCAAUGAAUUCCGAGAUAGAUUUAGAAUUAGAAAAGCUAAGGUCCAUGGAUGGAUUAGAAUUUGCCAAGUGUCCAAGCGAAAGCCGAAGAGGCAACUAAGAAGAGGUUGUUGCAGAUGCUAAAUUGAAAACAUUGUUUGGUAAAGAUAAGUGCGAGUUGGAGAGUGAGGUAAAUGAUGGGAAUACAUCGCUAUUCCACACACUUCAUUCCGUAUUUCUUUUAUUUAAAUAUUAAAUAUAGGCCUCUUAGGAAUUGUGUAGAAGAAACUGAUCUUUGAUACAAUCGUAGUUUAUGCUUCCAUUUUUGUUUGUUAAACCCACUUGGCUAGUCUAUUCAGAGCUUUGCUCUCACUUCGAAUGAGUCCCAUAAGUGGACGGUGGAAUUGAACCCCUUAGAUUGUUCGGAUCCAGAGUUUUAAAAAAUGAAUAAAAAAAUAGGUAAAACUGAAUUUUAAACCAUAUGGUAUUUGUCUCCACAAUUGAUAAUAUUUUGAUUUGGAUUUUUUUGCCUCUUGUGGGAGCCUCAUGCGCUAGGGCGCUAGAUUGGUAUAUGGAUAUCACUUGUUCUGUGUAUAAAUUACGAGAAACUAUCCUUCUUUAUUGUACUAAGAAUUGUAUAGAAGAAAAUGUAAGAAAUAUGAAAAGAAAAUUAACAAAUACAAAAUAAAUAAGUAAAGAUAAUCUACUACAUAUAAUAACAUUGAUUAUGCAAUUGUUUAAUUGAUUUGAUUUUGCUAAGUCGGGGGUCAUCAUGAAGCAGAGCUAGUUUGAAAAAAAAAAAGGUCGGAUAUUGAGCCAUUGUGUUGAAAGACAAGUGAGCCAAUUUGCAUGAAGUGUCGUGUAACAUCUCCAUGCCUUUUGAAACCUGGUUACUGUGACUCGUGGUUUCUAUGAGUAGAAACUUGGUGCAUCUAGAGCCUUAGGUGCGUCGAAUGUCCCCUGUGGUAUAAUGAGAUCUAUGAUGCUAUUUCUACUUUCAAUUAACUAAAUCUUAUGUGGUUAAGAAAUGAUAUUAUAUUGAUUAUUACAAUUACAAUACUAACUAAAGUGUUAUAGCAUUCCUUUUGGUCGGAUACUUGUAUAUUUUAUAUUUCUCAUUCAAUAUUGUCUGUGUUUAACAUAAGUUGAAGUUUAUCACUCUGUAUUCUGUAUUACCAAUACUGGAAACCGGCAGACUUCAAAAACUCAUGCAUCUGAUGCAAACAUAAAAUAAUAAUUUUCACAAAUGCAUUUGUUUUCAGCUUUGCAUUUGUUUGUGUUUUUGUUCAAUCAGCAGCGUGGGUGCACUUUACAACCCUAUCCUAUCGGUUAAUGUAAGAACAUGAGUAUUUAAUGAGAUUGAAAUGUGUAUAUCCCAUUUAUAGUAGAGGCUGACCUGUUAUAGUACUGUUUUAUAUCUUACUGGUUCAUGCACUAAUAAUACAAAAUCAUAGUGGAUGUAUUAGUAUUUGGAAAAAUCAAUAGUCUCACAUUGGCUAGAAAUAAGGCAUAGGUAGAGCUUAUAAAGCCUAGGCAAUCCUCACCUUAGAAGUAUUAGUGUCUAUCCUAGACACAUUAUUGGGCCACCGUAUUAUCUAUGAACUAAGUUUAGUAGUAUUGGGCAUGAGCAGGUGUAUUAGAAAAAUCUCAAGGCUCACAUUGGUGGGAAAUAAGGCCUACAUACAAUUUCUAAUGUCUAGGCAAUCUUCACCUUACAAGCCGCUUUGAGGGGUUGAGUUCGGCCCCAAACCCUACAAAUUAGACAAACCAUGGUAUUACCAAUUAUUUCACUGUAGGUCCGAGUCUGCGGAGUGGAAAUUUGGCCAGAUAUGAUGAUGUAAUAACUGAAUAUAAAAAAAAGGCAAAAUUACAUAAUUCGUCCCGUAACUUAAUUUCAUUUCAGGUAACAAUUUCGUCAUUUUUUUUUUUUUAUAUAUUUUUUUCCCGAUUUAAUCCUUUGUUACAAAAUGCCAAUGUUGUAUCAUUCUUUAUGGGAUUUUUUCAAUGAAAUCUAGGUUUCUAUGAUGAAGAUUUUGGUUUGUUUAUGAAUUUGAUAAUUUUUUUUUUACAAGUUGAUAUUUUUUGAUAAAAAAGGAUAACAAAGUUGUUGACAUUUUAUAACAUAAAGAAAAGAUGUCGAGUUAAAAUGAAAAAUAGUGACUUAUCGAGUUGAAAUGACGAGAAACAAUCUUUGUAUAUUUUUUUUUCCUUCAGAAUACAUCAUACUAAUUGGUCUCAAAUAUAUGUAAUAAUUGGUCAAAAAAGUUUAUCUAUUUGGUCCAAAUACAUAAACUUUGUUUGACCGGCUUUUGCUUAUAUCUUUUUGAAAUAAAGUGUUAUUGCUGAUGCUGUUACUUGUUUUAUUCUACUCUCUAGUCGAUUAGUUAGAUACAACUGCUGGCUGUGGGUUUAGGCAGAGAUUCUAGCAUACAACUCUGACAUUUUUUAAUGUAGACUUGGUCAGAAUUAGUAGCUUUUGACGUGAAUUGAAAAUAGUUUUUCUUUGUAUUUUAGGAAGGAAUCAAUAUUUUUUUCUUGAUUUAGUCUUGCACAUUUACUUCGAGCUAUAUUUGGAUGCUAUUUUCACAUUUGGAUGUCAUAUUUACUUGUUUCAAUUAGAGAUCUUGGGCUGAAUUUUAUAUUUCAGGUGAAACGCAGAUGUAGGAAGACACCCAUCCAUCGACCUCAUCUUUUCUAAUUCUAAAUUUAUCACUAUGAAGUCUGUCUGAGAUGGAUUUAGAAUUAGCAAAGAUAAGGUCCAUGGAUGGGAUAGACUUAGAGUUAGCAAUGAUAAGGUUCAUGUCUGAACAAGAGGCAGCCACAUACAUAUGCUGCUGGAGCUGUUGCUAAAGCGGAAGCCGCCAUUGCGGAAGCUGAAGAGGCAACAAAGGAGGUACUGACUGCAGAAGCGGAUGCAGAUGCUGCAGACACUUUUGCAGCAGCUGCAUUAAAACACUAAAGGGGAGAAACGUCCAAAGAUGGUCAAUCUCGGCUUUUCCUUCCCUUGUAAGAAAUGCUAAUGAGUGCCCUAAGAGUAACAAACUUAAAUAGUAAGUUUUUGUAAGUUUUUAUAGAAAUUGAUGAAUUCAAUGAAUUGGAAAUUGAACUUGCAUUCAACUUAGAAGCAAAAUAACAUGGAAUGAGUUGUUUUUAUGUUUACACAUAAUAUUAUAUGGGAAUGCCAAAUUUAUUUAUCUUCCAUAAAAUCUCCUUGCAAGGGCAUAAAGCACAUCUCUUCUCAAAACCGAUCAUCUUAAUUGAUUAGAAUUUAGAAGUGUGAUUUGCUUGCGGAGGGAUUUAUCAUUUUGGAGACAGCCUAUUAGGUAUUUCAGUGAUUAUUUGGUAUCUCUAUCAAAUAGAUGCGGUAUUUUUUAUUUGUUGUUUUGCAUAUUUAAAAUUUGUAGAUGAUCUCAGGCUGAUUAAAUUGUGAAGAAUGAGUCAUGAGAAGCAUGAUCUUUGGCGUUGGGUGACAGAUAGUCAGAUUAGUAUCACUCAUUUGCUGAGUGACUAAAGAUUAUUACGACGAACUAGACCUUGAAAUAUCCUUGUUGUCGAGAACAUUGUUUCAAUCUUUUGUUGUAAAUUUUUGAGAGCAGGUGUUUCCAUCCAGAUGUUUAGAUGAAUUUUAAUCUCUUGAUGUAUAUGUAUUUGUUGGAUGUGCGGUAAAUUUUAUUGUUUUUUUAAAGAGAUUGUAUAUGUAAGUGUUGUCAAUUUAGUAUUUUAAGUUUGAGAAAUAACAAUCCCUUAAAUUGAAAUAUAUCAAUCAGCUUAGUCUUUUUUAUUUUA